AAUGGAGGAGCAGUAAAAUGGGGACUACUGGCUAAGGAUCCAGGGGCCGGAAGUGGGGAUGGCCUGUGCUGGUAGUGCAAUUGGAGGCUGGGCUUUGUAGAGGUACAAGCCUUACAGCCAGUUGUGGUGUGUCUGUGCUGUGGCUUCCAGUGGCCAGAAGCUGACUCAGUCACCUGGUUUCUGAGUUGGCCUGACCUGGAAAUAGUGCCUAUUUGCUUCAGACAGGAAAGGGGGGUCUGGGAGGACCGGAAACUGGGGAAAAUCUGAGACCCGGAGGAAGAGGAGUAUUGAUCAGAGCACACCCCUCCUCUAUUCCAGCACGGGUCGAGGAGGGGCAGCAGCUGGUGCCAUGGAUGGAGGGAGAGUGGGCUUGGGAGUCAGGUUAACUGGGUUCACUUGACUUUUUAUGAACUGCAGACCUAGGCCAAGUCACGUCAUUUCCCUGAACUCCAGUUUCCUCAUCUAAAAUGAAGAUGGCAGCACGGCCCUUGAAAGUGUUCCCAGGCCCUGAAGUUCCUGACGCAGAUCCGGGCCUAGCCUCUCAUCAACCUGCGGCUGGUGAACACAUCUCUGUAUGAGCAUGUGGAGCAGAUGUGCCUCACUGGGAGGAGCCUGGAGCAGCUGAAGUUUCUGGGGGAUUACCUAGGCCUGUGCUGAAGUGGAGCCCUGAUGGAGCUAAGCAAGAGCCCCCUACCUCCAAGACGGACUACCCCGAGUUGGUGACCAGUUACCCUGAGGAGGACUACUCCCCCUUGGGCUCCUUAAGUGGCCACGACCCCCAGGUGGUCUUGCCACGUAGACCCAGAAGGACAGACGCUCUACACCAGCCACUUCACCCAAGAGCAGCUCCAGCAGGGCUCCAAGCCAACCCAAGAAACUGCGACACCUGCACGUCCCUCCAACCCCUUGGGUUAUGUUGGGCUCUGGUUGGAAGGAAUCUUUUCCUCUCCUCUCAUGAGAUGGGCGGGAGCCCUGAACACCCCUCUUCCCACAGUGGGUGAGGUUGAAGGACCAACACAGAAAGCCCUGCCUCUGCAAACCAGAUGAGCGCUGGGUUCAGUGGGAGCUGCUCCAGGUAACCAACUGGGGAAGGGAGAGAGGAGGGGAUUGUAUGACAGUGUCUUUCUCGACAGGACUCCCAUCCCUGCUCCUUGAAGCUUCCACAAGUCUCACAACCAGGACAGUGAGACCCUAGCCCAGGCCAGCCCCCCUGAGAAGGGAAGGGAAGGGGCUUGCAGGCCUUGGCAGGACCUCCCCAGAAGAGAUGGUGUGUUGCUGGAGGUCCUGGGGGCUGAGACUGGGUUGGGCGUGUCUCCCCCCAUAGGCCCAGCACUAGCCUGGGCUGAAUGAACUUGGGUCUGGGCCAUCCCAGGCCCAGAGUUCGGUGAGGUUGGGAGCGGAGCUGGGAGGAAAUAUCUCCUCUUGCUGUGGGAGCAGGCACCCACCACCAUCAGCAGCAAAGAGGGUUCAGUGGAGACUCAGGCCCAACCUGUGGGGAGCUGCUGGCUGUGACGGACUAGCCUCUGCCCUUCUCCCACCUGUGGCUCACCACCUUAACUGCCUCCUCUUUCCACAUUUCAAGAUCAAGACCUUGGAGAAGGCAGGUGUGCUCCAUUGAACCAAAACAGUGGACAAGGGGAAGCAGCUCUGGUGAGAGCGCAUGUGCACCAGACCAGGGCAGCAAGGGCCUUACUGAUGAUGCUCACUGAGCAUCUCCCAUUUGCCAGGCCUGUGUGACUCUCAAAAGACUUUAUAAGAGGUCCUGUGAGGGAGGACAGUGAGGCACAGGGAUAAAGUGACUUCCCUGUGGUCCCUUGGUUCCUAGGUGUCAGCAUUGGGAGUCUGCCCCUCACAGUUGAGUGCCCCAAGCUGCAUUCAUAAGCUCUGUUCCCUACUCCUGGGAGUGGGAGGGGGUCCUCAGCCGAGGGCCAAAUACAAGCCUAACCCCCACUAAGCAGCAGCACUGGAGUGCCUCCUGGAUGGUGCUGGAGGGUAGCAUCCUGACAUUCUUCAAGGACUCAAGACCUCAGCUGCAGGCAGCCAGAGGCAGUCUUCCAAGCUCUCCAUCCCUAAGUACGCAGUGGAGCUGAAGGGGGCCUCUCUUGCCUGGGCCCCCAGUAAGAAAAUGUGCUAGAGGUGAGUGGUAGGGAUAGGGAGGAGAGGGAGCUUACUGCUGGUUCGGGACCCACCCAGACAAGCCCCAAGGUAAGGAGGACUUGGGGAAAAUGGGGGUGAAAUUCUCAGGGCUCAAAGCUGAAGUUGUUCCCACCUGAGGGAUCUGUCCACAGUGUUUCUAAUGUCACAGAUUUUUCAGUCCCCUCUCCAGGAGCUGUGUUCACCAGUCCUUGGCCCUGGAGAGUGGUGAGGAAUAGGGGGUCUCUGGGGGGUAAAACUGUAGAUGCCUAGAAGGGCAGCCCUUAUCCUAGCUGCUCUGGCCUCAGACAGACAGAAGACCCUGCAUUCCUGGCUUCUUACCCUGACAAGCUGGAAAGCCUCCAGCUGAUUAGAGCCCAGCUUCCAACUAGACUGGUCCUUGUGAAAAACUGGGGCAGUUGCACAUUUCUCAGGCUCCCCCAGCAGGAAAAGAGAGGCCAGGUGGGGCCAGGAGAGGACCUCACAGUGUUGCCUUGUUUUUAAACUAGUUUUACCCUCACUUCAGUCCCCAGAAGUAUUAGGCAGCUCACGACAAAAACACACAAAAUCUACUACAAUGCCAGGAUCAGGCCAAACAAGUUACAGAACUAGGCCAGUGUGGGGAGGGGCAGAUGAGGUUCAGGUGCUAAGGUUAUUACUAGAGAAAGUUAGCCCCAGGUUUCCUGAUAACCUAAAUGAAAAAAACGAAAAACAACAAAAAAACCUUCCCAGAUUGUGAGGGAAAUCAAAGCUUCUCCCUAGUCCUUAGUUCUUGGAGGCAUUUUUAGUGUGCAACUCCUUUCUCAUUCAGUAAGGUACUCUUGGGGCUGCUUCGGGGAACACGAUGAAAGCCAAAAGCAUGACAUUACAUCUCAGCUCAGAAAAAGCAUUUCUGCAAAGAGCUUGAGUAUGUUGUUUUCUAAUGGUCCAUCAAGCUUCAUUCAGUUCUAGACCCAGAGUAUCCACAGAGCAGGUUUGGAAAACCAGUUUCAUCUCAUGAACUGCUCUGAUCAGUCCGUCUGGAGCCUUCUCCAGGCUUGGGAGGUUAGAGUGUUACCAUCAACUAGCAGUGUCUGCCAUGGGUGGUCAUAUUGAGGAGGAACAUCACUUCUGCUAGGCAUGUUCCUUUCCUAACCUAGAGGGACAUCUCUCAACCAUCGAUCUAUAAAUGUCACCUCUCUGACUGGGCUUCUGAUGAAAGUUCAGAGUAAACACUUCGGAGUUGUCUUUUUUGGCAAGGACAGGAAGGCAGAUGGCGCUCUUGGAAGCUACUCAAGCUGAUGGGAAGUCUGUCAGUCUUGAAUGGAAAUUAAGGAGCCCCCAGCUUCCCAGUUGGCAGAUGGCCAUCCUCCCUCCACUCGGGUGGCCUGCAGGUAACUCUUACGAUUUUUCUCAAGAGACAGUCCCAGAUUCUAUAACACAGCUGGGUUAGUUGAGCCUGGCAAAAUUUCAUAGCACAUCUUCCUAAUCCCCCACAGAGCCACAGAAAACUUCAGUAAGAGGCCUCCAAAAAGAGCGAGCUUGGGGUGGCUCAGCUGUGUAUUCAACAGGAUGAAUGUUUUGUGAGAUAUAUUGCUAUGUAACUAUAAAGCUUUGCCUUCUGAAUGAAACUUUCAAACAUGAACUGAUUGUUUUGAGAGAGUUGCCAAAAAUAAUCAUUGUUGUUUUAGAAGCAUUGUUAGGCCAUUCUCUGGGAUAACAGAGGCAGGGCUCUUGUUAGCUUAGAUUAUGGGCUGUACUGCCUAUCCACUGAAAGUUCUCUGUCUUUGCAGGGAGAGGGGUGAAUGUGCAGUUUUUCUUUUCCUUUUUGUAAUUUUUUAAAGCAGUUUAAGUAGCAUUCAAGUGUAAAUUUAAAAGGUAGACAGCCCUGAUCUGGAAGUUAUACCUUGUCUGACUCUCACUGGACCCAAAGGUCCAGUUGGUGUGAGCCGUGUUAUGAAACAUUCACAUUAACCUUGAUCUCUCAGUCCGCAGAGCCAGAGGCUGAUGAGAGAUCUAUCCAAGUUUGCUGACCACCUAACCCUGUUCUUCAGAGUCUUUGUUACAACAGUAGCUGGAUGAAGAAUAGCCUGCGCUGUGGGUAUCUGCUUGGUCCUUAAUAGUAUAAAAUAGUGGCUUUGGAAACCCAGAUUCCAGGGCUUCUUAAGAAUAUGGCCUGUGGUCUGCAUGGAACCUCCAGCAAAUUUACAGGGCAGUGCUUCCUCCAGCUGACAGACCACGUGUGUCUCCCCAGUGAAUAAGAAUAAGUGCGUUGGUUCCCCCCAGCCUGCUGGCCAGAAAGUGCUCUAACUAGUCAGAAAGUGGCCAAAAGUCUCCCCUUGAGUUUUGUUUAAUUUACACUUCAUGAUAAAGUGGACAGUGAGAGGUGCAUUGCCUGGGCUGGAGUGUGGGAGAGGGUGUAGACUCGUGGCUACAAAAGUGAAAAACACUCCUAGGUUCCCAGAGUGUGUGGAAUGCAGGAGGUGCUUGUUUUCUCUGGGAUCAGCCCCAAUAUGCUUUCAAAGCUUUCUGCCCAGCAUUUUCUUCACUGCUAAUUCUAGCCACCAGGGGCCUCCCACCAGGUAUUUCUUCCAUUGGCUGCUUGCCAGUGCUCUGGGUGAGGCCUGCCAUGUUCUGUGGUUCUUGGGGCUGGGGAAAGUGUACUAGACAGCUGGGCCAUUCAUACCUGCUGCACUCAGAUCCUUGCUCUCUCACUCACUAGUUGUGUAUCCACUAGCAAGUUGCUUAAAUUGGUAACAGGGAUGUCAUCACCUACUUUUUUAUGAGGUGCAGUACCUUGGCCUGGGGUGAGCUCUUGCUCCAUUAGGCUCUGAGUUCCUGGGAACAGGGAGAGAUCACCUCCGUCUCUCUAUCCCCCUCUGAGACCUGGCCCCAGUCCAGACCCAGGUAACCAGAGAUGACUGACUGACUUGUGUCCCUGUAGCUGCAGAGCCAAGAUGGCUCAGAGUACCUGAUCCAGCAUGACUCGGAGGCCAUCAUAAGCACCUGGCACAUGGCCAUUGGCCAGGGCAUCCAGGAGCUGGUAGGCAGAGCUUGGGGUCUCACUGCUGGUGGGGAGAGGAGGCCAGCCAUUAUCAGGGCAGCUGUGCCCACAGUGGAUAGGGCUCUGCACUCAGGCUCCAGGGGUUCCACAGCAGCAGUGGGUAAGUGCCCCUCCCUGCAGACACAAUUCCACAUUGUGGCUGGAUGGCAGAUGGGCUGCUGAAGAAAUAGCCUUUCUAAGUGUAUGAAUCCAGCCUCGGGCUGGCCCUGCAGGAGCUCUUUCCAGGUAGGGGUUGGGGCACAUCCUAGAGGAAUGUCCCAUUUCAAGGGAGGCAGGAGGAAAAGUAAAUAUCUGAAAAACAGCCUCAGGCUGGAAGGACAGGCUGGGACUAGAAGAUAAAAUUUUAAAGGAUUGAAUUCAAGAGUCUACCAUUUUUUAGGUUUAAAAUACCAAUUGCUUAAGUAGCGAUAGGAUAGGCCCCCUUCUGAUAGCUAUUCACCUGGUAACAAUCUGGGGCUUUUUGACCCUUAAUCUCCUAGAAGCCAACACUGGAUGCAGUGUUAGGUCAUAUUACUAGAGGUAGGAACUAGAUCCAGGGAGGUGAUGCUGGUGCAGUUCUGGCCAGUGCUCAGAUUGCAGCCACAUUAGCAAUGGUUUUUAUUGGGAGGCCUCCCCUGGAGUAUCCCAUGGGUGCCCCAGCAUCACCUCUGUACCCCUAACUAAACCUUCUCCAUUUUCCCUCUCCCUUUUAAAACUGAUCUUUCCAGUGCUUCAUUCUUUAGCAUGGGUGACUAAGCCUACGCUGCUGCCAUGUCCAAUAACGGAAACUUGCCUUUCUCUAUAAUGGGGUUGCAGGCAAGGUCAAUAGGGGGUCUUCCAAAAGCAUCUUGAGAAUCACUGCUUUUUGGUGCCAUCUCCAGCUACUCCCUAUCAGCUCUGUGGAUGACAGACCUGGAGCUAUGGCUGGUGCCCCACUGGAGACAGGACACUCUUUGAAAAGACAGCACAGGGGGUCUUUUGGUGUUGAGGGACCAACAAAGUGGAACCAAGAACCAGAGAACACAGCCCAAAUCCCUGCUCUACAGCUAUGUAAAAUAGGGAUAUUAACACCUACUUCCCCGGGAUAGUGAGCACAACAGAGGGAGUUACAAAUGUUGGUGCCCUGCAAGCCCCACUUCCUGAACAUAGUGGCCUCUACUGGCUAUUGGAUGACUGCACAGUGAGCUGACCUCCAGGCGGGGAUGUGCGAGUUUUUCUCCACUUCUGAAUCUACCUGAUGCUGGGGUUCUCAUGACAGACCCAUAGCUCCCUUUGCACAAAAUAUAUUCUGUGUAAUGAUAGUAAUUUGGAAAGAUUUUAAGCACCUUAUUGAGGUAUUGACAUACAUAUAUAUCCAUGAAACCAUCAUCACAAUCAGAUAGUGAACAUCUCCAGCACCCCCAAAAGUUGCCUUUGUGCCCCUUGGGACUCCCUCCCUCUACCCUUUCCUGUUCCUCCAUGCCCAAGCAAAUAUUGACCUACUUUCUGUCAUUGUAGAUUAGUUAACAUUGUCUAGAGCUCUCUGUAAAUGGAAUCAUACAACAUAUACUCUUGUUUGGCUUUUUUCACUCAACAUAACUUUUGAGAUUUAUGCAUGUUGUGUGUACCAAUAGUUCUUUCCUUUUUAUUGCUGAGCAGUAUUCCAUUAUGUGAAUGUACCACAAUUUGUUUAUCCAUUCAGUGUGAAGGUAAUUUUUAAAAAUCAGUAUAAUUCCCUAACUAUAAUAUGUAAGAGAAAUUGGAGGAAAGUGAUGAAAUAAUAGGGAAGUUCCAUGCUCAGGCACAAUCACACAAAAACACAGUGAUGCAGUCAGAUGUUUCACCUAUACAUACAAUUCCAUGAACCCAGUUCUUUGCCAGAAACUAUGGUUUGAUUCAAAAGCCCAGCAGUUGGCCACUUCAUGCAGAAAGGUACAAUGCCAUGUGACCCAAAGAAUAGGGACUGAGACUGAACAGAGGAGAAAGGCAAAUUUUUAGCUCAGUGGAAAGAUUAAUUCUCAAUGGGCUGGCCACCAGAGUGGCAUGCUUCUUUUCAAGUUGUGUGGCUGGUGUGUUUGGAGUGGACCACCUUGGGAUUUCUCCAGUCUAUCGAUUAUCCAGCCUCGUUUGCUAAGGUCCGAAUUUACUUUUUCAAAAGCAUGCUUCUAUUUCACUUAUCUUGCAUUUCACAACACAAUCCAGGGGCUUUUCAUUGGCACUUUCCUGAACAGAAAUAAAACUUUCAAAGCCCCAUGCUCCCAGACCAGCAGUAGACAUUGGCACUUCUCAAGCCUGCUGAGGGCCUCUCUCAGGGUAGAAUAUAAUUCUGUGGAAGAAAGUGUUUAACAAUGCUUUUGAGGCAACAAGGAUUUAGAAGCCUCUACUACAAAUGCAACUUUGUUAUAUUUACCUUCCUGGAUAACCUACCCACCUUGUCAUUAUUAAAGGAGUUUGUUAGUGGUAACCUUUGGCUUCAGAGUGGCUUGUCCUGGCAAGGAACUCAUUCCAGAAACUUUGAAGAAUUCAAUUUACCCAACAUGAGUGCUACAGAGAAGGAUCAAAAUCCAUCACAAGUAUGGUGGGACAAGUAAUAGGCAGGUUCUCUAGUCUUUGUUUCUUAACUGUGUUUUUAACAUAACAACCCAUUUCCCUCCCAAAUCCAGUUAAAUAUGUUAUACAUUCAUUCAUAUGCUUUUCCUGUUUUCCCUCAAAAUGUUUGCCUUCUACUUUUUCUAAUUUCUUGAGUUGAAUGCUCAGCUUGUUUUCUUUUAGUGGAAGGAAGACAGUUAAGACUAUGAAUUUACUUCUAAAUACAGUUCUGGAUAAAUUUCAGAAACUUGAUAUGUUAAUGUCAUUUCCAUUGUUUUAGAAACCUUUUAUUCCAGAUCUUAAUUUGUCUUUGACCCAGUGAUUAUGCAAGGGAUAAAAACCAUGUAAGUCUGGGUAGAGGAAAUCCUGGGGCAAAAUACCUCUAAAAACUGAAAUCAGUCAAAGGGAGAAAUAAAGUUUAAA